GACAGAGGGUGCAAACGUUGUUCGGAAUUACUGGGCGUAAAGCGCGUGUAGGCUGCUCGGAAAGUCGGGUGUGAAAGCCCUGGGCUCAACCUAGGAAGUGCACUCGAAACUUCCGAGCUGGAGAUCUGGAGAGGAUAGCGGAAUUCUCGGUGUAGAGGUGAAAUUCGUAGAUAUCGAGAGGAACACCGGUGGCGAAAGCGGCUCUCUGGAACGGUACUGACGCUGAGACG
rnacentral:rRNA from 1 species